AGUGUAAUAUAAUGUUUGAAUUGUUUUCUUUUUUGAUAUUUUUGAUUACAAUCAACCAUCAGCUGCUGCUGCUGCUGUGUUUUUCACUUGUUUGUUCUAUUUCUUAAACUGAGAAUUGGGAUGGUUGAUGUUGUGGUUUUUCUUUUGGUGAAUGCAUGUGUGGUCAAGCAAUUUCCUCCAAAAUUUAUGGACACAUUUCAAA
ensembl:ncRNA F48D6.6 ncRNA